CACGUAGGGUGCAAGCGUUGUCCGGAAUUAUUGGGCGUAAAGGGCUCGUAGGCGGUCCGUCACGUCGGGAGUGAAAACUCGGGGCUCAACCCCGAGCCUGCUUCCGAUACGGGCGGACUAGAGGUAGGUAGGGGAGAACGGAAUUCCUGGUGUAGCGGUGGAAUGCGCAGAUAUCAGGAGGAACACCGGUGGCGAAGGCGGUUCUCUGGGCCUUACCUGACGCUGAGGAGCGAAAGCGUGGGGAGCGAACAG
rnacentral:rRNA from 1 species